CCUACGGGUGGCAGCAGUGAGGAAUAUUGGUCAAUGGACGAGAGUCUGAACCAGCCAAGUAGCGUGAAGGAUGACUGCCCUAUGGGUUGUAAACUUCUUUUAUAAAGGAAUAAAACGAGGCACGUGUGCCUUUUUGCAUGUACUUUAUGAAUAAGGAUCGGCUAACUCCGUGCCAGCAGCCGCGGUAAUACGGAGGAUCCGAGCGUUAUCCGGAUUUAUUGGGUUUAAAGGGAGCGUAGAUGGGUUGUUAAGUCAGUUGCGAAAGUUUGCGGCUCAACCGUAAAAUUGCAAUUGAUACUGGCAGUCUUGAGUACAGUUGAGGUAAGCGGAAUUCGUGGUGUAGCGGUGAAAUGCUUAGAUAUCACGAAGAACCCCGAUUGCGAAGGCAGCUUACUAAACUGUGACUGACAUUGAUGCUCGAAAGUGUGGGUAUCAAACAGGAUUAGAUACCCGGGUAGUC
rnacentral:rRNA from 1 species